rnacentral:misc_RNA from 1 species
GAUGAAGAACGUAGCGAAAUGCGAUAAGUAAUGUGAAUUGCAGAAUUCAGUGAAUCAUCGAAUCUUUGAACGCACAUUGCGCCCGCCAGUAUUCUGGCGGGCAUGCCUGUCCGAGCGUCAUUUCAACCAUCAAGCCCCCGGGCUUGUGUUGGGGACCUGCGGCUGCCCGCAGGCCCUGAAAACCAGUGGCGGGCUCGCUGUCACACCGAGCGUAGUAGCAAUCACCUCGCUCAGGGCGUGCUGCGGGUUCCGGCCGUUAAACAGCCUUACAAAACCCAAGGUUGACCUCGGAUCAGGUAGGGAUACCCGCUGAACUUAAGCAUAUCAAUAAGCGGAGGA